rnacentral:lncRNA from 1 species
ACAGGAACCUUUCUUCCUAAGCAUAGCUCUGACUUCUCUCUAAAAGAUCUCAACACUGAACCGUUUAAAUUUUAAUCUAAAGGUGCCUACACGUUCGCGGUAUCAAGGGCUAUACUUUGAACCGAUCGACUUCUCCUUUUCAUUCCAGUAAGUAAUUUUCCCCUUCUUUUUCACUGUUCUAGAACCUAGGGCAUGCGAGUUUACUGGGUUCAUGUGCCUUGUACAUUUUUCUUCCCAUUCUUUGC